GGAGGAGUUCCAGAGCGGUCAAAUGGGACAGACUGUAAAUCUGCUGCCUUACGGCUUCGUUGGUUCGAAUCCAUCCUCCUCCACCA
rnacentral:tRNA from 1 species